rnacentral:lncRNA from 1 species
GAUCUUAGUGGGUGGCCGCCAAGAGCGCACAGACUUUGAAGCAGGAAAAGACAGUCUCUAGAGCAACAUGGAAAGGAUCCAGUAUUUGUUUUCAGGCAAAAGCAAGCCUCCAAAAGCCCCUUGGUUCUUCUCUGUGUGUCUCGCCCCUUCUGCCUUGUACACCAGACUGCCGGCAAGCAAGCGGGGAGGUGGCGAACAGCUGGGAUCCUCCAGUGAAAAGUUUGCUCAGCGCGAGAGAUGUCAAGAGGCUGGGAUUGUCGCCUAUCGGGAGGUGGGGAGCUCUCUCACUCACACUUCCUGGGAAAUGAAGGAGAACUAAUAGGCAGCCCGCAUUUGCAGCCAGCCAACCUGGGUGGUAUUCCUUGAAGUGAAGCGCUCAUAAAUCCCUUCUGGGGCCAGAGCCGGUUUCACAAGCUGCAGGAUUUGGGUGGCCUGC